rnacentral:lncRNA from 1 species
CGGCACUUGUACCCGGGACCUGUGCUCCUCCCACCCCCAGUGACAAAGUAAGACCCUGCCUCAAGAAGAAGAAGGAAGAAGAAAGACAAAAAGAAAGAGAAGGAGGAGGAGGAGGAGAAGGAGAAAGAAGGAGAAGAAGGAGAAGGAGAAGAAGAAGAAGAAGAAGAAGAAGAAGAAGAAGAAGAAGAAGAAGAAGAAGAAGAAGAAGAAGGGAAGAAGAAGAAGAAGAAGGAGAAGAAGAGGAAGAAGAAGAAGAAGAGAAGAAGAAGAAAAGGAGGAGGACACUUUAUUGCAUGUAAAUUAAAAGUAAAUUUACAGGAAUUAUUUAUUAUUUGCAGUGCAUGCUCUUUAUUCUUGAGCCAAAGAGACAUAGCUUAACUAAAGCUAACUAUGAUCAGUGAUGUCACAUAAUGGCAAUUGUGACAGUGAGUUUGUGGCCCUUUAUCCCUUAUCACCCUUCCAAUCACAUCGCUGUGAUUGAGUGCAGACUGCUUCCUUUGUUUGUUUUCAUGCUCCCCCUUUGAUUACUCUCUCUUUUCUGAGCUGUAUUCUCCUUCCCUGUAAGUAAAGUACGACCUGUAAAACACAAGAGGAAAUGGGAGCAUAAAAAUUUGCAUAAUGUAAUGAAACUGCUGUAUCAUGAGCUUUCUUUCUUUGGUUAUGUUCGAAUGAAAACAAAGGUAUACCUCUGAAUCGGAGUUUGGAGUGUUAGCCCUGGAAACUGGAAUGAAUAAAAUAGGCCAGUAAGGCUUGCGUGCCUUACAACUUUAAUGCAGCCAUGUGCUGUACUGUUUAUGGGUAAAGCACCUGGCAUCACAGUCCUUCCUGGACUGGCCUUUAUCUCAGGUAAGUGAGGCCUUUCCUGUUGAAUCUCUUCCAGGCAGGUGUGCAGGGAAAGAUGAUAGCCUGGCCCAUGGCUGAAUGAUUACUUCUCAUCCAUGGAAUUCAUUUUCAUAUCUGGAAUGCUGCAUAAUCUGGUGAAUAAAGCACUAAACUGGAAAUCCAGGAUAUACAGUUUGUGAGGACUUGCUGACUGCACUUAUGUGAUCAUCUUAACAGCUUAAUGCUUGAAUUAACUCAAUCAGUAUCAUGGUUGGUAAUUUGUAGUAAAAAUUCUGACAACUUAUACAUGGUUUAAAUUUAUAAAGUGCUUUUAUGCAGUUUAACUCUUUUAAUCUUCAGGUUCAGAUGGG